rnacentral:rRNA from 1 species
UACGUAGGUGGCGAGCGUUGUCCGGAUUUACUGGGCGUAAAGGGAGCGUAGGCGGACUUUUAAGUGAGGCGUGAAAUACCCGGGCUCAACUUGGGUGCUGCAUUUCAAACUGGAAGUCUAGAGUGCAGGAGAGGAGAAUGGAAUUCCUAGUGUAGCGGUGAAAUGCGUAGAGAUUAGGAAGAACACCAGUGGCGAAGGCGAUUCUCUGGACUGUAACUGACGCUGAGGCUCGAAAGCGUGGGGAGCAAACAGGAUUAGAUACCCCGGUA